GACGAACGCUGGCGGCGUGCUUAACACAUGCAAGUCGAGCGGUAAGGCCCUUUCGGGGGUACACGAGCGGCGAACGGGUGAGUAACACGUGGGUGACCUGCCCUCAGCUCUGGGAUAAGCCUGGGAAACUGGGUCUAAUACUGGAUAUGACUCCACGGUGCAUGUCGUGGGGUGGAAAGCCUUGUGCGGCUGAGGAUGGGCCCGCGGCCUAUCAGCUUGUUGGUGGGGUGANGGCCUACCAAGGCGACGACGGGUAGCCGGCCUGAGAGGGCGACCGGCCACACUGGGACUGAGACACGGCCCAGACUCCUACGGGAGGGCAGCAGUGGGGAAUCUUGCGCAAUGGGCGAAAGCCUGACGCAGCGACGCCGUGUGAGGGAUGACGGCCU
rnacentral:rRNA from 1 species